rnacentral:rRNA from 1 species
GAUGAACGCUGGCGGCGUGCUUAACACAUGCAAGUCGAACGGAAAGGCCCAAGCUUGCUUGGGUACUCGAGUGGCGAACGGGUGAGUAACACGUGGGUGAUCUGCCCUGCACUUCGGGAUAAGCCUGGGAAACUGGGUCUAAUACCGGAUAGGACGAUGGUUUGGAUGCCAUUGUGGAAAGUUUUUUCGGUGUGGGAUGAGCUCGCGGCCUAUCAGCUUGUUGGUGGGGUAAUGGCCUACCAAGGCGUCGACGGGUAGCCGGCCUGAGAGGGUGUACGGCCACAUUGGGACUGAGAUACGGCCCAGACUCCUACGGGAGGCAGCAGUGGGGAAUAUUGCACAAUGGGCGCAAGCCUGAUGCAGCGACGCCGCGUGGGGGAUGACGGCCUUCGGGUUGUAAACUCCUUUCGCUAGGGACGAAGCGUUCUUGUGACGGUACCUGGAGAAGAAGCACCGGCUAACUACGUG